UACGUAGGGCGCAAGCGUUAUCCGGAAUUAUUGGGCGUAAAGGGCGCGUAGGCGGCCGUGCAAGUGGAAUGUGAAAUCCCUCGGCUCAACCGAGGAACUGCCUUUCAAACUGCUUGGCUUGAGUCCGGGAGAGGUGAGUGGAAUUCCCAGUGUAGCGGUGAAAUGCGUAGAUAUUGGGAGGAACACCAGUGGCGAAGGCGGCUCACUGGACCGGAACUGACGCUGAGGCGCGGAAGCGUGGGUAGCAAACAGG
rnacentral:rRNA from 1 species